rnacentral:rRNA from 1 species
UACGAAGGGGGCUAGCGUUGCUCGGAAUUACUGGGCGUAAAGCGCACGUAGGCGGAUUGUUAAGUCGGGGGUGAAAUCCUGGAGCUCAACUCCAGAACUGCCUUCGAUACUGGCGAUCUUGAGUCCGGGAGAGGUGAGUGGAACUCCGAGUGUAGAGGUGAAAUUCGUAGAUAUUCGGAAGAACACCAGUGGCGAAGGCGGCUCACUGGCCCGGUACUGACGCUGAGAUACGAAAGCGUGGGGAGCAAACAGG